CUCCCCCGCCCCCAAUAGCUAGCCCACCCCCAAAACCCAACAACCCCCAUCAAUAAACCCAAAUACCACAGUAUUCCUUAAACAAACCAUUUUACCCCCUAAGUAUGGGAGACAGAAAAGAGAACAGGAGCGAUAGAUAAAGUACCGCAAGGGAAAGCUGAAAGAGAACUGAAAAAAUCCAGUUAAGGGCAAUAAAGCAGAGACUAAACCUCGUACCUUUUGCAUCAUGACCUAGCGAGUAUUACCAAGCAAAAUGUUUUUUAGUUUGUACCCCCGAAACUAAGUGAGCUACUCCAAGACAGCCUAUUAUAGGGCACACCCGUCUCUGUGGCAAAAGAGUGGGAAGAGCUUUGAGUAGAGGUGACAGACCUAUCGAACUUAGUUAUAGCUGGUUGCCUGAGAAAUGAAUAGAAGUUCAACCCUUAUGAGUCUUAGGUCCAUCAGGGCCCAGCCUCCAAAUGAUUAAGAGACUCUAAAGGAGAUAUUCAAAAGAGGUACAGCUCUUUUGAAAAGAGAUACAACUCUCCUAGAUGGAUAAAGAUCAAACCGAAAAAUUAAAGUACCCAGGUGGGCCUAAAAGCAGCCAUCCCCUCAAAAAGCGUUAAAGCUUAAGUACUAAACUUACCAAAUCUCGACAAAACAUCUUAAACCCCUUUGUAUAUCAGGCCAUUUCAUCUUAACAUGAAAAAGAAAAUGCUAACAUGAGUAAUAAGAGGGCCUUUGCCCCUCUCCCUUUCACCUGUGUAAAUCAGAACGAACCCCCACUGACAAUUAACCGCCCCCACAUAAAGAGGGUAUUGAGACAUAAUUCACUACACCGGAAAACCUCUCACCUACGAGCGUUACCCCCACACAGGAGUGAUAAAGGAAAGACAAAAGAAAAAAGAAGGAACUCGGCAAACACUGGCCUCGCCUGUUUACCAAAAACAUCGCCUCUUGAUUAUUCACAGUAUAAGAGGUCCCGCCUGCCCUGUGACAAUAGUUUAACGGCCGCGGUAUUCUGACCGUGCGAAGGUAGCGUAAUCACUUGUCUUUUAAAUAGAGACCUGUAUGAACGGCAUAACGAGGGCUAAGCUGUCUCCUUUUUUCAGUCAAUGAAAUUGAUCUGCCCGUGCAGAAGCGAGCAUAAAUAUAUAAGACGAGAAGACCCUAUGGAGCUUUAGACACAGAAGUAGACUACGUUAAGCACCUCACCUAACGAGAUUAAACCAAGUAUGACCCUACUUCUGUCUUUGGUUGGGGCGACCAUGGGGCAAUAAGCAACCCCCACGUGGAAGAGGACACCUACCUUAAGGCGAGGCCGACAGGCCUAGCAAGCAGAACAUCUGACCUACAAAGAUCCGGCAAAGCCGAUCAACGGACCCAGUUACCCUAGGGAUAACAGCGCAAUCCCCUUUUAGAGUCCCUAUCGACAAGGGGGUUUACGACCUCGAUGUUGGAUCAGGACUUCCUAAUGGUGCAGCCGCUAUUAAGGGUUC
rnacentral:rRNA from 1 species